UGGGGAAUAUUGCACAAUGGGGGAAACCCUGAUGCAGCGACGCCGCGUGAGUGAAGAAGUAUUUCGGUAUGUAAAGCUCUGUCAGCAGGGAAGAAAAUGACGGUACCUGACCAAGAAGCCCCGGCUAACUACGUGCC
rnacentral:rRNA from 1 species